AAAAAUGUUUAAGAGUUUGUCGGAUUUGUUAUUGAGCGAAAAUUAUCACAUGAGUGAAGGUACGUGGUAAGACGAGGUAAAAAUGAUAAAAAAUGACUUUAGUGAAGGACAAAAUUAUGUGUCUACAACAUGCCCCUCUUUGGGUGUAAACACAAAGUGUUUUCAGAAAAAGAAGUAGACAACGAGAUCGAAUUUGGACCCAAUCAUUAUUUGAAGAAAGGAUACAAAAAAGGACAGACUACCACCGAGUCUUGAUUUAGGACAUCUUACCUGCUUCAAGUUAUGUGAGAGUCAAGUCACAGGUAUCUCAAAGAGCUGGAAGAAAAAGAACUAUGCCGAAUUAAAGAGUUAAGUGAGGUCCUGUCGAGGUUCUAGUCCGUGGCUCUGUCAUUACAUCAAAAAUGAAAAUUACAAGUUAAAACAUAAAAUAAAUUACAAAAAUCCUAUCUAUGCAGCUUCUUUUGGACUCUUGACUUUGAGUUUCAUCACCUUAUUCUCCAGGCGAGCUCCCGACUUGCAAUUUCAUUAUAUUGUUGCUUGGCUUUCAAUUUCUUCACCCUAUUCUCUAGGCGGACUCCUAACUUGCUAUUUCUUCAAUCUGUUGACUUUCCAUUUCUUCACCUUGUUGCUUGACUUCAACUUCUUCACCUUGUUGCUUGGCUUUCAACUUCUUCACCUUGAUGCUUGACUUUCCAUUUAUUCUCCCUGCUCUUCAGGCGGGUUCCUGAAAUCAAAUAAAAACUAGAAAGAAAAUUAUUCCAAACCAAGAUUAUUAUAAAGAGAGAUUCCAUUUACCAGAAAAGUAAAGUCUCAAACAAUAGGAAUUACAUUUUUGUCUCAAUUUAUCAUCAGAGGACUUUUGUGAAAGUCAUAUCAUAACUACUUGAACAAACCAAACAAAAAAAUACAUCUUCUAUGGGUUACAAUGAUUCGACUAGAAAGUGCAUUUUCUAGGAGUCAAAGGGAAUGACUUGACUAGAAAGUACAUCUUCUUGGAAUCAAGGGGACUAACUUGACUAGGAAGUACUUCUUUUAGGAAUCAAGGGGAAUGACUCGACCAGGAAGUACAUCUUCUAGGAAUCAAGGGGACUGACUCGAUCAGGAAGUACAUCUUCUAGGAAUCAAGUGGACUGACUCGACCAGGAAGUAUAUUUUCUAGGAAUCAAGGGGACUGAAUCGACCAAGAAGUACAUCUUCUAGAAAUCAAGUGGACUGACUCAACUAGGAAGUACAUCUUUUAGGAAUCAAGGAGACUAACUCGAUCGGGAAGCACAUCUUCUAAGAAUCAAGUGGACUAACUCGAAUAGGAAGUACAUCUUUUAAGAAUCAAGUGGACUGACUCCACCGGGAAGUACAUCUUCUACGAAUCAAGGGAACUGACUCGAUCGGGAAGCACAUCUUCUAGGAAUCAAGUGGACUGACUCGAAUAGGAAGUACAUCUUCUAAGAAUCAAGUGUACUAACUCGACCGGGAAGUACAUCUUCUAGGAAUCAAGGGGACUGACUCCACCGGAAAGUAUAUCUUCUAAGAAUCAAGGGGACUGACUCAACUAGGAAGUACAUCUUAUAGGAAUCAAGGGGAAUUACUCGACUAAGAAGUACAUUUUUUAGGAAUCAAGGGAUAUGACUCGACUAGGAGGUACAUCUUCUAAGAAUAUAGACUUAAGUUAGGAAGUACAUCACCUAACAAUUAAAAUUUGAAUUACCUAAUCAAGGAAGUGCGUCUCCUUAUCAAUGUCGCUUGAAUUACCAAAACAAGAAAGUGUCUCCUUACCAAUGUCGCUUGAAUUAUUCAAACAAGGAAAUACAUCUCCUUACAAAUAUCUCUUGAAUUACCCAAACAAGGAAGUACGUCUCCUUACAAAUGCCGCUUGAAUUACCCAAACAAAAAAGUGUCUCCUUACAAAUGUCGCUUGAAUUACCCAAACAAGGAAGUGUGUCUCCUUACAAAUGCAGCUUGAAUUACCCAAAUAAUGAAAUGCGUCUCCUGUGCAGCAACAUUUCCCCCUUGUAUUUGUAGAUGUGAGAAAUUACGAUCUUUAAUGUUUAGGCUUUGAAGUCCUUGAUUUAAAGGUAACAUGUUUCCUGUUAAUCAAAGAAAACUUGUGAGUUUAAAAUAGGGUGGUUGGUUUGCGGCUUUGGCUUUUAAGGCCAUUGCUCUUGCGCUGGUCACAUUCAAUCUUACUUCCAACCAUUGGCAUUAUCAUUGAUUUGCUGCAGCAUUGAUCUAAACUCGAAUCAUUAAGAGUGACUCUGACGCAAACACAAUAUCUCUGUUGUUGCUAUGUUCCUCAAACACAUCCUUUGAACUUUGAUAUUUCCAUGAAUCCCCAAACUUGCUUAUUGAAAAAAUUUAUGCAUGCUUUAGUUCCGCUCACAAUUAUGUUUCUUUCGUUUGCUGGCUUUUUGUCUUGCUUUGUGCAAUUGAAGAAGUUGGUAGACAGUUUUGAAAUCUUUUCUCACUUGUUUUGACAUGAACUUGACUCAAAGACAAGAGAAAAAUGACGAUGAUUUUUUUAUUUGGAUAACUGACUCACGAAAAUAAAACAAAAAUAAAGUGAAGAAAUAAAUGUCGCCAUUUAAAAAAGAGAAAAGAAAACUUAUAUGAAAAUGAAAGUCAACUCUAAUGAUUAUGACAUGCAUUUUGGAUUAAGCUGCUUAAUCUUUUAAUCCAAACUUUUCACCAAUUGUUGUUGAGUUAAUGGCCCUAAACUGAGUUGUUUUCUUGGGAGACCUCAUUCGACUAGUGAUGCCUUUGAGGAUUUUUGCCAACAAGCCUUUCUCAUUUUCCUUCUCUCAGUUCACCAUUGUCCAAUGGUGUCCGUGAGGGUUUUUCACCAAUGAGACUCUCUUAUUUUCAUUUCUCUCAACUCACAGUCGUCUUAUAGUGCCCGUAAGGGUUUUCACCGAUAAGACUCUCUCAUUUUUAUCUCUCUCAACCUACCAUCAUCUUAUUGUGCCCGUAAGGAUUUUCACCAAUAAGACUCUCAUUUUUAUUUCUCUCCUGAUUCCUUAUGCUGAGGAAGACAAAUAGUUCCCAAACAGCAUUAUCAUAUGCGUUGUAUGCUUAGCCUUAUCAUUUUCAAAUAUUGAUUUGAAAGUCUUUCUUUGGUUGUAACUUGACUUUUAGAUAAUGUUAGAAAGAAAAGAUGACAUGAGGCCCAAACGACACUUGAAGUGGGGUGGGACUUAAAACUUUUAGAAUCGACUCAAACAAUAGAAAUUAACACAUGCCCCAAUUUCUUUAACUGGGUAAUUCUAAAUUAUUCAUUUGAUUUGAUCGUAAUCAUAACUCUCAAAAUCAAUUCGAACAAUGGAAUUAACCACGCCCCAGUUUCUGUAAUUGGGUGAUUCAAAAUUAUUUAUUUGGUUGGCUUGAACCCAGAGUAGGAUUGCCUACGUAUCUCACCCCCGAAAGAGGAGAAACAGGUCAAACGUAGUUCCGACAACUUAUUCUUUUGCUUGACUCUGAUUUUUUUCUUCUUUUUUCUCUUUUAUUGCCUCAUUUUCUUUUUGAAACUUUUUCUGACUCUAUUUUUCUUGGCACUCAUCACUUUUCUUUCUUUUUGACACAUUUUUCUUUUUUAAAAAAAAAACUUUUCUGACUGAGGGGUAUGAAACAAAUAGAACUAAAGCUCAAAUAGAGCAAACAAAGGAUGACACAAUGUUUAGAUAGCAGAAUGAAAUGUCUUCGACAUAUCAAUCCAUGAAAAUGCAAGUACAUAUCAUGUAAUAUGAAAGUGAAAAAUGAAGAUCAUUUGUGACAUUUUUACAGCACUAACUUUAACUGAGCUUGUGCAUCACUACUUCUUCUGCGCUUUGUCUAGCAUACAACUUGGUUGUAAAUCCCUUACAUCGAAUGACUCAUUCUUUUGUGGAGCUGAUUUUCUUUCUGUUCCUCUUGAUAUAGGAUCACGCAUCCACUGUUUAACCUAAUUCAGACAUGUCUUUCAAUUGGUGACCAAGCUAUUCUUUUGAUUCUCAAAAUAAUUGUCUUAAUUUUCAAAGAACACUUCAACUUGUCACCAAAUGUCUCAGCAUUAUACCUAUUUUCUCAGAUGUUUUCUUCUAACUUUAGCCCUCUGAUUUAAAGUUCAUGCUUAAACUGGAUUUUAAAAUCUAGCUGAAAAUUUCGCCAGCAUAUCAUAUCACUAAAACCACCAUAAAAUAUACCUAUGUAAAGAAAACAAACAAACAACACAUAUUUAAAACACAAAGGCAAAAGGGACACUCCAUUUAGUUAAAAUGAAAAAUAGAAGGGUUUGAACAUAAACAACAAAGGGACAAAACAAGAUACAUCCCGAACUACAAUCCUGAAAUAAUUCGGAUAACAGAAAAAAGAAUAAACCAGACCUCUUCCUAGUAGGGAGAGGAGUAACUUCUCAAUUGCUGAGCCUGACAUUUUAGCCACUGGUUUGCAUUUCAGCAUGACUAGAGCUUUCACCACUGUCUGACACAUUAUCUUCAACAAAUAAGUUCUAGAUCUCCAUGCUUAACUCAUUGCUUCUCACAUAUUGUGCAUUACCGUGCCUUAUUGAAUGAUUCUGUAUAUGUGACCUUUGUAGUGUCAAUGUUUUAUGCUACGAUCAAUUUUUUUUGAAUCAUCCUUUAUAGUUCUCUUUUCAAAGCACUACAACCCUUAAUACUGUGACCCUGAACAUUAGAAUGAUAUGCACCUCAUACAUAAGGAUCAAAAUUUCUUGAAUAUGGAUCAAGAGUACACCCAAAGAGAGGAGUGAUCCCAACUCUCUCAAUCUCUGAAAUAAAUAGGCGUAUGAUUUCCCAUUUGGUGUAAAAUUAUCCUUUGACUUCCUCCUCUUUGCAAACUCAGGCCUCGAUUGAAACUUGGACUUAGAAGUUCCUUGGUAAAUAUAUGGGGCUCAAGGACGAUGUUGAGGGACCGAUGCACCCUAUUGUGGAUAAGAAGACGAAUGAGUAUACAGUUGUGCAUUGUUUAAGGAAUACUGAGGAAAUGGAAUGAAAUAUCUUGAAUUUUACAAAGAGGAACCUUAUUGCAGGUGAGCAUGUGGAUUUGAUGUGUAAGCUCGGGAUUGAAACUGAAAAUAUUGUUGAGUUGGAACUGUCGAGCUCUGCUUUUCUCCUGGAACGAAAAUAGGUACGUUUUUUUUUUCUUGCCUUCGGUCUCCCUCAAUUGAUGGCAAUAUCUUCCUAAGUGUUUUACAGAAUUCUCGUACCCAGCAUGUUCCUCAAAUUCAGAUAUCUUAAACUUAGGAGAGAGGUUAACACUUGAAAACAUGCCCCAAUCUUUAUAUGAAACAUUUUCUUUACCUGCAGGUCCUAGGAAACUUUUCAUAGCAUUUUCUGCACUCUUCAUUUUUCCAACCAUUUUCUCUUGCUCUUCUGGCAUGCCAGGCUUCUUGGCAUAAAAUUUUGGUGGUCCCAUUAACUUAAAUAUAGGCUCAGGAGUAUAGCAGUGAUCAUCAAGAGUAUUGAUCAUGGGUUCACUAGCGGCAUAGGAAAGCACAACCGUUGAGUAUUGAUCAUGGAUUCACUAGCGGCAUGGGAAAGCACAACCGUUGGGUGGAUGUCCAAGGUGGAAGCCUCAAUAGAGGAUUGAGCAACAAAAUCACAGACAAUAAUGGGGUUGUGAAUGUAGUAGGCUUAUACUGAGAAGCUAGAGAAAUGAUGGUGGAAGUAUUGAGAGGCAGCUGGCGUGGAAUAAAUUUUGAGGCAUGUUGUAGUGCAUCAACAAUAGUAGAAAACUAACUUUGCGAUUUUGGUGGAAGACUCAAGGUAUUUGUAAGACCAAUAGUGGGAAAUGGAGGAGGAGGCAACCCAAUGGCCCAAGCUCGGUGCAUUUCUGUCAUUUAUUGUCUUAAUCUCAAACUCUCUUACUUUAAACUCUCAUUUUUUUGAAUCUUUGUCUGAUUCAUGAUGUCACUCUAUAUCCAUGUUGGACAUGACGAACUCUCCCUUAGACUUGGUGUGAUGUGGAGGACCAGUCAGGAUGUCACAAACCAACCACCUUAAACUAACUGAACAAGAGAUAACAAAUGUGUUAGAGUUCAAUACUUUUUCAAAACUUCUUCUUUCCUUUUUAAAAAGAUCACUGAACCCUAGAAGGGCGCCUACGUAUCUCACCCCCGAGAGGAAAGAAUCAGGUGUGCGUAGUUCGUGAAGUUUGACCAAAAAAUGGUCAGACAAACUCUUUUUCUUUUUCUUUUGUUUUUUCUUGAAACUUUAAGAAGAAAAGAAAAUAACAAAUUGUCAAAAGAAUUGACGAAAAUCUUUUUAAAUUUUUCAGCAUUAACAUCCCUGUACAAAAUAAAACAUAUGAUUACUAAAGAAAAAUCUUUUUGGAUUUUCGAUUUUGAAUUUCAUACGAAAGUGAAACUUGAAACUACUAAAAGAAAAUCUUUUUGUAAUUUUCUUUUAAAGAUGUAUAUGACCUCUACUCUAAAUGAAGAGUGAAGAAAAUCUUUUUGAAUUUUUUAAAUAAGAUCACCGAACCCUAGAAGGGUUGCCUACGUACCUCACUCCCAAAAGAGGAUAAUCAGGUUGCGUAGUUCGUCCAGAUUGGACAACUAGAGAUUAACUAAUAAAUUGAUCCUAACUUGAGAGACAUGACCAAAAGACAGACGAUGAACAACGUCAUUAAAAUCUUUUUGGGGGGUUUUUAAUUAGACACUUCACAUAAAACUGACACCAACAACUAUGAAAGAAAAAUCUUUUUUCUUGGUAUUUUUGUUAUAUGAAAUGUACAAAACUUCUACCAUCUUUUUGAAUUUUCUUUUUUAUAAAAAGCUCAUAUUAAAAUUCUUUUUUUUUAAUUUUCAACUUAUGAAUGCUUGCUAAAGAAACAAAGGAAAUUUUUUUUUAUAUUUAAUUUUUUUUUUUAGAAGAUUGGUGCAAAAGGUAAGAAAAAUCUUUUUUUGAAUUUUUAGAUUUUGAAAAACAAAAAUCAUAAAGAACUCUAAAAACUACGAAACUUUUUUUUGACUCACUUUGUCUUUUUUCCCUUUUUUUUUGAAUUUUUCAUUGCCUCCAUACUUUUCUUUAAUUCUAGCACAUGUUUUUUCUAAAUCAGUCCGUCAAAUGAUCAUGUUACCUUCAGAUAUGCAACAAUUAUUAUGUAGGGAUGCUUUAGAGGUGAGUCUCCUACAAAGGACCAAGUGGAUCCCGCUAGGUCUCAAUCUAAUGCAGAUAAGCAUGACCUAAAGGCUGACGUACGUUGGGAUCCACUAACAAGGCUGUUCGGGGAAGCGUAUGGUUGAUAGUGGCUAUGACUGCUUUCCACCUACUCCAUACCGGCCAAUGGCUCCCCCUCCUAAAAUAAGGGUGACCAACUAAAGGUCGUGUACACAGCGUGUACUACGGACUUGUUACGAAAGAAAUGACCCAUAUUAUGCAAAUGAUGACAGAUAUAAAACGGUAACACAUAAGAGAAAAAUUAUAAACACGUAGCACGUAGGCACUCAACAAUGAUAACACAAAUACAAACAAUAACACACACAACGUCUAUACACCCAUAAUGUCAAACUAAGCCGAUACAACUCCAAAAAAUAAGCUCGAAUUCUGAAAAUCCCCAGCAGAAUCACCAGAGCUAUUACACCCCUUUUUUAACCAAAAGAUUAAUUUUUAAGUUUGAAAGAGUUUUAUUAUUAAGUGACAAAAGAUAAAAUUUAUUUCGAAAAAGAUUAUUUACAUUUAAACUCAGAGUCUCCACUUGGCAUAAAUUGGGUGUGCCAAGUCACAUUUGGAAAUCCUUUUUCAAAAUAGUUUUAACUCUAAAAACUUAUCCACAAACAGAGAUUCUAGUUAAGAAAUUCUGUUGACCGAGGAGAAGGUGUUAGGCACCCCUCGAUCCCGUGGUUCGACCACGAUCGCUUCGCGGAGUAUAUCGGCUAUCAUGACAUUAUGAAUGUAUAAAUCAACAAACUCAUAAACACGGAAAACAGACAACCAAACACUCAAAAGUCCGAAAAAUAGUGUCUAGUCCCAUUUAAUACAUACCAAAAUAAAAAAGUGCAAAAAUGAACCUAUACUAAUCUAUACUAAUCCUAAACUACGCUUCACCCGAUGCCCCAGCUCUUGAUCACGAACCUGCUUCGCGUACAUGAUACUUAAGGGCAUUCCCCGGCGAAUAAAUACAAUUUACUCAGGGUUUUUCCCGGCCAAAUAAAUACAAAAAAUUCAGAAGCGAUGAAGCAAAAGCCAUUCAACACAUUCAAACAUUCAACAAUCACAAUCCCUAUGUGUUGCCUGCCCCGAACCUAAAAUUUGCCUAUCGAUUCUCAGCCUAAAAUAUGAUACUAUCGGGUAAAAAUUAAUAGCAAACAACCAAUUAAUCAAACUCCUUGCAUUAUGAAUCAAAAUUUUCAACAUACACCUUUAUCAAUUUCUCAAUUUCCUCCUCAAUAACGAGAUAUCAUUUCAUUACACAAAUCAUAACCCAAAGGAAUCAAACAAAUCAAACAAGUAGCAAUUCAUCAUCAACCAAGAUAAAUGAACACGCGAUAUUCAAUCCAACACAUCGAAUAUAAUAAACGAUGAAAUAAAAAGAGGAAGAGAAUUGAGUUGGACCUCGAUUGGAGCUUUUAUUGUGCCAAAUUAUGUGAUCGACGGACAAAACCGGAUUCGAACCUCAAUCUCGAACUAACCGAACUCGGUAUACCCUUUACUACUUUUGCCAACACGAACCAGUGACCGCGAAAAAAUAAAGACGAAGCCAGCAUCCGCUUAUGCGAUCGGGUCGCCAAAUUUUGUGGUUUUUUUGGCUAACUUUUGGGAUGCUUUGACGCAUUUUCGACGAAUCCAUCGCCGGAACAGUAACCAGAACGCGAGACUCGUGUUUCUCCCUCAACUCUCACUUCGUCUCACGCCAUCUCUCCCUCUAUCUCUCUCAGUUUUCUCUCUCGUUGUUUCUCGAUCAAAUCUCUCUAUUUUUUCUUUCUCCGAUCAGUUCUCUUUCUGUUUUCAGUCCUAAACCUCACAAUUCCCGUGUCUCUCUCACUGUGUGUCGUUGUGUCCAUAGCUGUGUGUGCGUCGGUGUUAAUCCAUGGAGAAUGAAGCUUUUUUUUUUCUUCAAUGGUGGGUCUGAGAGUAUUCUAUGAGAGUAUUGUGUGUGUAUAUGAAUAUCUCUGUCUGUUUUCUUAUUCCAUGGAAAAACCCGAGUAUAUAAUGGGUGUCUGUAAUUGUAUGUAGAUGUGUGAGAAUGUGAGAUGGGUAUUGCUGUGUGGCCCCCCGAUGAAAAUUA
rnacentral:lncRNA from 1 species